GGGAUGGGUCGGCCGGUCCGC
rnacentral:siRNA from 1 species